AUUGAACGCUGGCGGCAGGCCUAACACAUGCGAGUCGAGCGGAUGAAGGGAGCUUGCUCCUGGAUUCAGCGGCGGACGGGUGAGUAAUGCCUAGGAAUCUGCCUGGUAGUGGGGGAUAAUGUCCGGAAACGGGCGCUAAUACCGCAUACGUCCUGAGGGAGAAAGUGGGGGAUCUUCGGACCUCACGCUAUCAGAUGAGCCUAGGUCGGAUUAGCUAGUUGGUGGGGUAAAGGCCUACCAAGGCGACGAUCCGUAACUGGUCUGAGAGGAUGAUCAGUCACACUGGAACUGAGACACGGUCCAGACUCCUACGGGAGGCAGCAGUGGGGAAUAUUGGACAAUGGGCGAAAGCCUGAUCCAGCCAUGCCGCGUGUGUGAAGAAGGUCUUCGGAUUGUAAAGCACUUUAAGUUGGGAGGAAGGGCAGUAAGUUAAUACCUUGCUGUUUUGACGUUACCAACAGAAUAAGCACCGGCUAACUUCGUG
rnacentral:rRNA from 1 species